ensembl:lncRNA novel transcript
GAGCCAGCGGCUCUUGGGAGGCUGCGUCCGCGCGCCGGCGAGGCGAGGCGGCCGGGCCCUGCGCGUCAGGCCUGAGACCUGGGAGGAAGCUGGAGAAAAGAUGCCCUCUGAAUCUUUCUGUUUGGCUGCCCAGGCUCGCCUCGACUCCAAAUGGUUGAAAACAGAUAUACAGCUUGCAUUCACAAGAGAUGGGCUCUGUGGUCUGUGGAAUGAAAUGGUUAAAGAUGGAGAAAUUGUAUACACUGGAACAGAAUCAACCCAGAACGGAUAGCUCCCUCCUGGAAAAGCUUUUGUGUGGUCCUCUGAGCCCCAGUGAGAGUUUCCUGAGGUACCUCACCCUUCCACAAGACAACAGGCUUGCCAUUGAUCUGCAACAAACGGCGGUUGUUGUCAUGGCCCAUUUAGACCGUCUGGCUACACCCUGUAGAUGCCUCCUCUGUGUAGCUCUCCGACGUCUCAUAAGAGUCAUUUUUUACAGGUCAGAACUGUAGAAAUAAUGAGAAAGUGACACUUGUACGCAUAGCUGAUUUGGAGAACCAUAAUAACGAUGGAGGCUUCUGGACUGUGAUUGACGGGAAAGUGUAUGAUAUAAAGGACUUCCAGACACAGUCGUUAACAGAAAAUAGUAUUCUUGCUCAGUUUGCAGGGGAAGACCCAGUGGUAGCUUUGGAAGCUGCUUUGCAGUUUGAAGACACCCGGGAAUCCAUGCACGCAUUUUGUGUUGGCCAGUAUUUGGAGCCUGACCAAGAAAUCGUCACCAUACCAGAUCUGGGGAGUCUCUCUUCACCUCUGAUAGACACAGAGAGGAAUCUGGGCCUGCUUCUCGGAUUACACGCUUCCUAUUUGGCAAUGAGCACACCGCUGUCUCCUGUCGAGAUUGAAUGUGCCAGUAAGAAAAUCUUUGCUUUUUGCUGAUCAGCAGAUUAUUUUUUUUUGAACUGUAAGUGCCAUUAAGAGUGGGAGAGGGCCAGGCACAGUGGUUCAUGCCUGUAAUCCCAGCAGUUUGGGAGGUUGUGGCACGUGGAUUGCUUGAGGUCAAGAGUUUGAGACCAGCCUGGGCAACAUGGCAAAACCCCAUCUCUACAAAAAACACAAAAAUUAGCCAGGCAUGUUGGCACGUAUUUGUAGUCCCAGAUACUCAGGAGGCUGAGGUAGGAGGAUUGCUUGAGCCUGGGAGGUUGAGGCUGCAGUGAGUCAUGAUCAUACCACUGCACUCCAGCCUGGGUGACAGAGCAAGACUCUCUCUUUAAAAAAGCAGGAGAUGGCCAGGCAGUGGCUCAUGCCUGUAAUCCCAGCACUUUGGGAGGCUGAGGCGGGUGGAUCACCUGAGGUCAGGAGUUCAAGACCAGCCUGGCCAAUGUGGUGAAACCCCAUGUCUACUAAAAAUGCAAAAAUUAGCUGGGUGUGGUGACGGGUGCCUGUAAUCCCAGUUACUCGGGAGGCUGAGGUAGGAGAAUUGCUUGAACCCAGGAGACGGAGGUUGCAGUGAGCUGAGAUCAUGCCACUGCACUCCAGCCUGGGUGACAAGAGCGAGACUCGGUCUCAAAAAAAAAAAAGGAGAGGAGGAUUCAACACAGUUGAUGAUGAUAAAAA